rnacentral:rRNA from 1 species
UCCGCAGGGGGCAAUCGUUGUCCGGAUUUAUUGGGUUUAAAGGGCGCGUAGGUGGCUUUUUAAGUCAUGGGUGAAAGCCCGCAGCUCAACUGUGGAAUUGCCUGUGAUACUGAGGAGCUUGAGUGCGGUUGAGGCAGCUGGAAUUGGUGGUGUAGCGGUGAAAUGCAUAGAUACCACCAGGAACACCGAUUGCGAAGGCAGGUUGCUAAGCCGUAACUGACACUGAGGCACGAAAGCGUGGGGAGAAAACAGG